ACUCCUAUGUUUUAAAUUCUUCUAUUAUUUUUUCCCUCUAAAAGCAAAUUCCACUUUAUCUUAAAUUAUUUACUCACAAGAAUUGUAAUCCAGACGAGAAAAUUAAAGCAGGUGAUUUGAUUUGCUGCCUUGGAAAGAUGGCUAUUUAUGUAAAUUAAGGACUACCAGGCUGUCUUUGAAGUUCAAACGUGUUUUGUCGUGAUUUCCGCUUUGAAUUUCUGCAAAAGCUUCUGCCAUGGUCCAUAUCUAACUCUGUCUCUUUAUCAUAACAUGGUAGUUUUAGGGCAGACAAAUUUGAGGCAGAUACAACAACAAAUGGCGAGUUACCACAAUUGCAUAAUGACACAAACUGGAGGUAAGAAUCCUCUCAAAUCCUUGAAGGUUCCAUUGUUUCUCGAAAUACUCUCAAAUCCUUGAAGGUUCUGCUUUUGAUCCAUUUCAAUCUGUUCCUGAAAUAUUACAAAAUGGAGGUAAGAAUCCUUCGAGGUAGACUCUGUUUGAUUAUUGUUUUUGUGCUUUUCUUUACCUUGAGUUAAGUUCUGGAUGAGAAGAUACUGAUAUAUUAGAGAAGUUGUAUAGAGGUUUGUUGUUGAUGAUUGUUAAUCUCUUUUUCUGAAUGAGUUUCUUAUCUCUGGUGAAAAAAAAAUUUCUUAUCUCUAGGUUUGUAUCUUUGCACAUUGUCACUUUUACAUAGUGCAGUGGGGUUGGAUGGGGUUUUCUAGCGAAAUAGUACAACAAAUUGAGCUAAAUCAAAUAAGAGUUAGGCGGGAACUUCAUAUUCUUAACCUGACAUUAUCCUUUAUUCUUUUAGCUUUUCCAUUUAAUUAAGGGUAGAAGACAAAACACGAACCGGGGUAAAUUUUCAUUUUUACAUAUAGACUAUAUCUUUCCAUGGUCUAAUGCUUAUUUAGAUUAACCGAUUGUAUAAAUUCUACAAUAAGAUUUUGAAGCAUCUGCAUCUCUGAUCAGUUGUUGCUUCUUCCAGUGCAGACCUGCAGGAUGCAGUUUAGAGUGAAAAGUAUGGAUUGACAACUAAAUUACGAGAAUUCAUUUUCAAACUAGAGGUAGAGUCUCUAACCGCAUGAAUAAGCGCUCAGGCGUGUGACAAAACUUAAUAUGCAUCUUUUUAGGCUCAAAGUUUGGCACAAGAAUUUUGGUAAAGAACUUUUAAUACCUCAGUUUCUUUGGGCAGUUACUGAAUGCAUUGAUUAAAAUCAGUCUUCUUUCUGUACAAAGGAAAAAAUGCCAACCUCUCUUUUAGAGGAAUUCUUUUCUUAUUGAGUUUUUCAUCUAACUUUGCAUUUAUAUAUAAUGAGAUUAAUUAAGAUGUGUGUUGUAGACACUAUUGUUGGUUCAUCUAUGGUUGAGGUAUUAGAUUCUUUGGCUUUUUAUCUUAGUAAUUUUCUAGGAAACAUUUUUGAAUAAGACACCUACUCAGCGUCAACAAAGAUAGUCUUGAUAGAUUGCUGAGAGAUGCAUCUUCGCAUAUAUAGUAUAAGACACGGUUGUCGGGAAUUAUUUGAUUCUUUACUUAUUUGAGGCAGAAUAGAAUCUACAUUAAAAAGCAUUCUAGCAGGUUGUCCAGGAUUAGAUUGCCCAGAUAGUGGAGACAAACGACAAAACAUAUAUUUGGUGAAGUAGUACUAACUACUAAUAAGCGGAAGCAAUGGGUGAUGAUCUCCAGAGGCUAUAACUCGAUGGCAAAAGAUUGCAGGGCAGAUUCAUAUGGAGUUAUAACAACAAAUAUGGACAGUGAUGUUUUAGAAGUGAGUUAAUAAUACUUUUUUGAAAUGUAGAUGGCGCUUUUGGUGGCAACGACCAACGGAGGAUCAAAAAAGCAAAAGAUGUUGUUGAGGAUUUUCAAGGCGGAAUGCGAUCCACUCAGGCGGGUAAGUUUUCAAAUGGGAAGCUUCAUUGGGCUGCGAAUGAUGAUGACUGAACAUCAUUUCUAUUGAUUUGACCGAUGAGAAAUGGCGGAAGGUUGAGCAGUCCUGCUAUGGAGAAGGAUAUAGUCUUUUGCAUCUGGCAGUGUUGAGAAGUGAUCUUUCUGUCUGUUGUAAUUAUAUGAGUAGUCACACAGAUGUGUGGGUUAUGAAAGAUUAUGGGGUUAAAGAGUCUUGGAUAAAAAUGUAUACCAUCAAAUAUCUUAGUGAUUUUGAGAAUACUUAUUUUUCUCGUUUGCUUCCUUCAACUCUUUGCAUGUCAAAAAAAGGUGAAAUAUUGCACUUAAUUGGAUCAACUCUGAUGAUACACAAUCCAAAGAAUGAAUCGUCCAGAUAUACAAAGGUUGCUGAGGUUCGUAACUGUUUCGCAGCAAACAUCUACAUUGAAAGCCUAAUUUGGCCCCUUUUACAAAACGAACCAAGCACACAACAAGAAUGAAGGUUGUGAAAGCACAAAUGAAUGACAAUGGUGUAGCUAAUGACUUCAUGAACGCGUCGUGACAGAGUUGAACAAGCUUCUCCUUCUCUUGAAUUUCUGGUGUAUGCAGUAUCUCGAGAUUGUUGUGACAAAAUGUUGAACAAGCUUAUCCUUGUAUACAGUAUCUCUCUGGAUCACAAGUUGAUGUUGAUCCCCCAGCUACUUACAUGUAUGAUGAUUUUAGUGAUGAUUUGUUCAAAUUGUAAUGUUAUUUUAGUCAAAGAAGUAGAAGGUAUCCGGUGAUGCGUUGUUAAAGGAAACUUAUACAGUAAUGUACUUGAUAACUUUCUGAUGCUUUUGGUUUUAGAAUAUUUCUGCUA